GGUGGUGCCCCCCCCCCCACUUCAUGUACAUCCAGAGGGGGAGCUGAGGCUAGAUUCUUCUCUCCCUGGUUAUGAGCUCCAAAAGCAGAGCCAUCUGAAUCUGAGGGGGCUGGCUAAGGGUGUGGACAUCUGAGAGACUCUGAGGAGAUCCACAUUCCCAAAUUUGGGAUCUCAGAGGCCUCAAAGUGCCUUUCUUCCAAGCCAUCUAGCUGUCAUGUUCAAUGGACCUGAGGAGAAGCCAUCAAAGGACUCCAGUACCAAGAGUCCCUGUCUUGGUCACACCUGGGAAUGUGAUGGGAUGUGUGUGUGUGCAAGUAACAGCAAACCACAUGGGAGGUUCAGUCAGCUCUCCUUUCUCAGAUCCCAGGAGCUAUGAGAAAUGGCUCCCCCGACCCACAGCCUGCCCCCUUCCUGGGCUGGAGCUAGGCUAGGCCUCUCAGUGGUGGACUGUGCCCUGGGGUC